UUUGAUGGCGACCGGCGCACGGGUGAGUAACACGUAUCCAACCUGCCGAUGACUCGGGGAUAGCCUUUCGAAAGAAAGAUUAAUACCCGAUGGCAUAGUUCUUCUGCAUGGUAGAACUAUUAAAGAAUUUCGGUCAUCGAUGGGGAUGCGUUCCAUUAGGUUGUUGGCGGGGUAACGGCCCACCAAGCCUUCGAUGGAUAGGGGUUCUGAGAGGAAGGUCCCCCACAUUGGAACUGAGACACGGUCCAAACUCCUACGGGAGGCAGCAUG
rnacentral:rRNA from 1 species